ACACAUAAACGUCAGCAUUUAUAAUUGGUUGGUGCAUUAACGUUUCAUCAUUGACCAUUGUUUAUUCAAUUACAAUGGUUUCACGUUCCCAACAAUUGAUUUGUUAACGCGCGGAAAGAACGACUAUUAAUUUCAUAUUUGCCUUUCAUAAAACCUCUCUAGUACUUAUUUACAGCAUUCCAAUUCCGUACGUACGGUUCAUGGUCUCACAAUUCCAAGAUACUUUAAAAAUGCUAUAUUAGGAGCGUUAGGAUUAUGCCCCCUGGUGUAUAGGCAACUCGUCAUACUCGAUGACUAAAAAAACCGGCCAUGUUUGUUUGCCAUUUUCUAUAUACAGAACAUAAAAAUCUGAAGACGGACGACCAGGAGAACAUGAACUGAGGAAGGAAUAAUUUUCAUUUUUAGGAAGAAUAAUAUAUUGGCUAUAAUAUCGUUUCCUAUAUUUUGUGGUAAAAUUAACCUCAAAUAGUUAUUUACUUUUUAAUUAUUAAAAUGAACGUUUUUUUGUAAUUCUUCUUGCUUUUACAAGUUCAAAAUAAGAAAAUGGAAUUUCAAUUGAAAGUUUUAUUAAUGGAAUCGUCAUAAGUUCGGUUUGGCUUUUGGGUAAAAUGGAACUUAUCGCUCUGGUUCUGCCGAUCCGAAGACCCUGUGGUUCUUUAUGGAUGGGAAAGCAUGCAAAGGAGAAAAGGGGGUCGGAAAUGUAUAGCUAGGUCUGGACAUUACUGUUGAAAGAGAUAUGCAGUGCUCAUAUAGCAGUUAGCAUAAUUAAGACUCACUUUACAUUACCAGAUCGAAAGCUUUGGGUAAAUUUCGAAAUGCAAUUAAUGGUAAACUGAAUCCAAUACCAGAAGUUUCACAAGAAACUUGAGACAAGUACUAAUGGAAGAUUCUUUCCGGUAGUUUUGGAAAAGCGGACACAUUCUGCCAAGGAAGACACGAACCUGGUUAAACUGGCUUACAAGUCUGUAACAGAUGUUCAGUGAGCAGAAGGACUUACCUAUUCAUCACAAAAAGCAAACGAACAUUAGUCGAUUUUGUAGUAUCAGUUUGUUAAACGAUUCCUGUUUGUUUAUUCGUAGUAUAAGUUACGCAUGCAUGAAUUCGCUUAUGCUUUUUUAGAGAUGUAUUUAUUUCAUUAUUAUUCCAAAAGGUUCGAAUUUGGCAAAUAAACAGUCUGUGUAAUUAA